CAUAGGUUAAUGAGGCGAACCGGGGGAACUGAAACAUCUAAGUACCCCGAGGAAAAGAAAUCAACCGAGAUUCCCCCAGUAGCGGCGAGCGAACGGGGAGCAGCCCAGAGCCUGAAUCAGUGUGUGUGUUAGUGGAAGCGUCUGGAAAGGCGCGCGAUACAGGGUGACAGCCCCGUACACAAAAAUGCACAUACUGUGAGCUCGAUGAGUAGGGCGGGACACGUGGUAUCCUGUCUGAAUAUGGGGGGACCAUCCUCCAAGGCUAAAUACUCCUGACUGACCGAUAGUGAACCAGUACCGUGAGGGAAAGGCGAAAAGAACCCCGGCGAGGGGAGUGAAAAAGAACCUGAAACCGUGUACGUACAAGCAGUGGGAGCACAGAGCAAUCUGUGUGACUGCGUACCUUUUGUAUAAUGGGUCAGCGACUUAUAUUCUGUAGCAAGGUUAACCGAAUAGGGGAGCCGAAGGGAAACCGAGUCUUAACUGGGCGUUAAGUUGCAGGGUAUAGACCCGAAACCCGGUGAUCUAGCCAUGGGCAGGUUGAAGGUUGGGUAACACUAACUGGAGGACCGAACCGACUAAUGUUGAAAAAUUAGCGGAUGACUUGUGGCUGGGGGUGAAAGGCCAAUCAAACCGGGAGAUAGCUGGUUCUCCCCGAAAGCUAUUUAGGU
rnacentral:rRNA from 1 species